rnacentral:rRNA from 1 species
GACGAACGCUGGCGGCGUGCUUAACACAUGCAAGUCGAACGGUAAGGCCCUUCGGGGUACACGAGUGGCGAACGGGUGAGUAACACGUGGGUGAUCUGCCCUGCACUUCGGGAUAAGCCUGGGAAACUGGGUCUAAUACCGGAUAGGACCACUGCCUGCAUGGGUGGUGGUGGAAAGCUUUUGCGGUGUGGGAGGGGCCCGCGGCCUAUCAGCUUGGUGGUGGGGUGAUGGCCUACCAAGGCGACGACGGGUAGCCGGCCUGGGAGGGUGACCGGCCACAGUGGGAAUGAGAUACGGCACAGACUCCUACGGGAGGCAGCAGUGGGGAAUAUUGCACAAUGGGCGCAAGCCUGAUGCAGCGACGCCGCGUGAGGGAUGACGGCCUUCGGGUUGUAAACCUCUUUCAGCACCGACGAAGCGCAAGUGACGGUAGGUGCAGAAGAAGGACCGGCCAACUACGUGCCAGCCGCCGCCGUAA